rfam:Thermosinus carboxydivorans Nor1 ctg55, whole genome shotgun sequence.
GGUACCUUUAAAUCAGUCCUGUGAGGCUGACAAGGUAGGCGGCGUAACUAAGAUUGCAGCUUGUUGGCGCUUUUGCAUACUAAAAAGGCUUCUUGUCAGUGCGACUGACAGGAAGCCUUUUUCG